rnacentral:rRNA from 1 species
AGUGGCGGACGGGUGAGUAACACAUAAGGGACCUGCCCACGCGUGGGGGAUAGCCUGGGGAAACCGGGGGUAAGCCCGCAUACGCUCCCUGGCAUAGCGGCCGGGGAGGAAAUCCUUCUUUUGGGAAGGAGCGCGUGGAGGGCCUUGUGGCGGAUUAGCUAGUUGGGGGGGUAGUAGCCCACCAAGGCGACGAUCCGUCGCUGGUCUGAGAGGAUGACCAGCCACACCGGGACUGAGACACGGCCCGGACUCCUACGGGAGGCAGCAGUUAGGGAAUUUUCCCAAUGGGCGCAAGCCUGAGGGAGUGACGCCGCGUGCGGGAGGACGGCCUUCGGGCUGUAAACCGCUUUUCGGGGGGACGAGAUGGACGGUACCCCCGGAAGAAGCCCCGGCUAACUACGUGCCAGCAGCCGCGGUAAUACGUAGGGGGCGAGCGUUGUCCGGAUUUAUUGGGCGCAAAGAGCGCGUAGGCGGCCUGGCGCAUCCGGCGUGAAAGCUCCCUGCUCAACGGGGAGAGGGCGGCGGAGAUGGCGAGGCUAGAGGGCGGUAGAGGCGGAUGGAAGUCCCGCAGUAGUGGUGAAAUGCGUAGAGAGCGGGAGGAACACCAGAGGCGAAGGCGAUCCGCUGGGCCGGACCUGACGCUGAGGCGCGACAGCCAGGGGAGCGAACGGAAUUAGAUACUCCGGUAGUCCUGGCCGUAAACGAUGGCGACCAGAUGGGGGGGGCUUCGACCCCGUCCCCGUCGCGGCAAACGCGAUGAGUCGCCCGCCUGGGGAGUACAGUCGCAAGGCUAAAACUCAAAGGAAUUGACAGGGGCCCGCACAAGCAGCGGAGCGUGUGGUUUAAUUCGACGCAACGCGCAGAACCUCACCAAGAUUUGACAUCACCUGGAGCGCUCCUGAAAGGGAGUUUCCCGCAAGGGCCGGGUGACAGGUGUUGCAUGGCUGUCGUCAGCUCGUGUCGUGAGAUGUUGAGUUCAGUCCCGCAACGAGCGCAACCCGCGUCGCCAGUUACAUUGUGUCUGGCGAGACGGCCGGGAGCAACCCGGAGGAAGGCGCGGAUGACGUCAAGUCGGCACGGCCCGUACAUCUUGGGCUACACACACGCUACAAUGGCCGGGACAGCGGGUCGCGAGGGCGCAAGCCGGAGCUAAUCCCUGCAAACCCGGUCGUAGUUCGGAUUGAGGGCUGCAACUCGCCCUCAUGAAGUCGGAGUUGCUAGUAACCGCGGGUCAGCACACCGCGGUGAAUAUGUUCCCGGGCCUUGUACACACCGCCCGUCACACCAUGGGAGCGUGGGGGACCUGAAGUCG